ACAAAGGCUCUUCUCAGAGCCACACACUUUCUCUUUAGUAGAUCU
rfam:Xenopus tropicalis strain Nigerian Chr06_contig_68, whole genome shotgun sequence.